ACGUACGCUGGCGGCACGCCUAACACAUGCAAGUCGAACGAAGUAGCAAUACUUAGUGGCAGACGGGUGAGUAACAUGUGGGUAUCUGCCCUUUGGCCUGGAAUAACACGAGGAAACUUGUGCUAAUACCGGAUAAGUCUUUACGGAGAAAGCUUUAUGCACCAUUGGAUGAGCCUGCACUUGAUUAGUUUGUUGGUGGGGUAAUGGCCUACCAAGACUGUGAUCAAUAGCUGAUUUGAGAGGAUGAUCAGCCACAUUGGGACUGAGACACGGCCCAAACUCCUACGGGAGGCAGCAGUGGGGAAUCUUGCACAAUGGAGGAAACUCUGAUGCAGCGAUGCCGCGUGAGUGAAGAAGGCCCUUGGGUUGUAAAGCUCUUUCGUCGGGGAAGAAAAUGACUGUACCCGAAUAAGAAGGUCCGGCUAACUUCGUGCCAGCAGCCGCGGUAAUACGAAGGGACCUAGCGUAGUUCGGAAUUACUGGGCUUAAAGAGUUCGUAGGUGGUUGAAAAAGUUAGUGGUGAAAUCCCAGAGCUUAACUCUGGAACUGCCAUUAAAACUUUUCAGCUAGAGUAUGAUAGAGGAAAGCAGAAUUUCUAGUGUAGAGGUGAAAUUCGUAGAUAUUAGAAAGAAUACCAAUUGCGAAGGCAGCUUUCUGGAUCAUUACUGACACUGAGGAACGAAAGCAUGGGUAGCGAAGAGGAUUAGAUACCCUCGUAGUCCAUGCCGUAAACGAUGUGUGUUAGACGUUGGAAAUUUAUUUUCAGUGUCGCAGCGAAAGCGAUAAACACACCGCCUGGGGAGUACGACCGCAAGGUUAAAACUCAAAUGAAUUGACGGGGACCCGCACAAGUAGUGGAGCAUGUGGUUUAAUUCGAAGAUACGCGCAGAACCUUACCAACACUUGACAUGUUCGUCGCGACUCUAAGAGAUUAGAGUUUUCGGUUCGGCCGGACGAAACACAGGUGCUGCAUGGCUGUCGUCAGCUCGUGUCGUGAGAUGUUGGGUUAAGUCCCGCAACGAGCGCAACCCUCACUUUUAGUUGCCAUCAUUAAGUUGGGCACUCUGAAAGAACUGCCAGUGAUAAGCUGGAGGAAGGUGGGGAUGACGUCAAGUCCUCAUGGCCCUUACGUGUUGGGCUACACACGUGCUACAAUGGUAUCUACAACAGGAAGCAAGACUGCGAAGUUAAGCAAAUCCCUAAAAGAUACCUCAGUUCGGAUUGCACUCUGCAACUCGAGUGCAUGAAGCUGGAAUUACUAGUAAUCGUGGAUCAGCGUGCCACGGUGAAUGCGUUCCCGGGUCUUGUACUCACCGCCC
rnacentral:rRNA from 1 species